CAUUUUCUGCAGAACAGGGCAAUGGAAGAAAUACCAUAUAUUAAUUACAAACACUAUUCCCAUAAUAUUGAAAUACUGACAUACUACCUGGAUCUCUGGCACUUACUGGUUGCAAAUCAACAUCUUAAACAAAUUAGGGGCAAGGUGUUCCUUGUUUUAAUUAUUCAUGUAAACCACUCUGGGAGCCUUUUUCAGCUGAAGAGCAGGUUUAAAAUGCCUUAAAUGAAUAAUGUAUAGAAAGCCUGAAAGUGCUUCCUUGAUUUCUACCCACGUGGAAGAAAUUAGCCUCUUCCAAGCCAAAGAAGAGGGUACUGAGAGACAUGAAGUGAAUCAGGCUUGUUUAUUUUCAUGAAAGAAUCUUAAAUUAUCUUGAAAACACUUGCUCCACUAGAUUCUCUAACUGACACCCACCUUUAACAGUUGGGUUGCCAUAACAACCCCUCAUGUCUCAGCCCUAACCUUCUAAUCACUCUAUUGCAAAGGAAGCUGUAGCAGGUAGGGAACAAAUGCAGGCCAAACUGCUCCUAUCCAAGCUCCUGUAUUCUUUGAUGGCUUUGAGUAUCUUGCCUGAAUAAGUUGCUGUGAUUUGGUGGCAAAGGGAAACAGUGAGAACCACUUGAGAACAUUAAAGAAGAAAUCUAACUGAAACUGCUCCUCUUUUAGUAAUAUUUUGCAGAUGAUUCAACACCAAAAAGUCAGGUCAUCUGAUACGGUUUCCAACCUGCCUUCUCUCUCUGCCAAAUGGGGAAGAAAGGCCCCAAUACCUUCUUUAAUCUGCCAAUAGUUAUAUUUCCUUGCAAAAGAAGUUUCUGCUUUUCUGCCUCAUUAGCAGGGUACAGAAGUCUUCCAUCUGUGUUGCUUGGUCUCUAAUGGGCUCAUUCACACAAAGAAAAGUCUCCAGUUGACUCUGCAUUCAACAAAUGAUAAUCACAUAUGAAGUAACUGAUCCAUCACCUUCACACACCUCUCUCCAAGUUCACUGAUGAAAUAGACAGCAUUAUUAUGAUGUCACAAUUCCAUGUAACUGCUAACCCUCACCUUCAUAUAUGGGGCAAGGCAAGGCAAGGGAACAGGGCUGGUUGGGAUGAAUUUCUCUGCUUCUGUAUAGGUCCCUUGAAAGCAUUACAACCAUGUAUGAACAUCUGGUGAGACUUUGGAUAACAAAAGGAGGAAGCGGGGAGGAGGAAAAGAAGGAUCUGAGAAGCACCGUGUUGGGGUUCUCUUUCUACCAUUUCAGCCCCGGUCUGAAGUGAUUAUUUGUAUCUUCAUGAAUAAAUACAGCAAUACUAUCUCCCCAGAGACUUC